UACGUAGGGUGCGAGCGUUAAUCGGAUUACUGGGCGUAAAGCGUGCGCAGGCGGUCCGCACAGUCUGAUGUGAAAGCCCCGGGCUCAACCUGGGAACUGCAUUGGAAACUAACGGGCUCGAGUGUGGCAGAGGGGGGUGGAAUUCCACGUGUAGCAGUGAAAUGCGUAGAGAUGUGGAGGAACACCGAUGGCGAAGGCAGCCCCCUGGGCUAACACUGACGCUCAGGCACGAAAGCGUGGGGAGCAAACAGG
rnacentral:rRNA from 1 species